GAUGCGCGGGUUCGGUGUUGUGUUCCUCUGUUGAGUCGACAAGUUAUGCUUUCCGGUGACAGCUCGUGGUGAAGUUGCUCCAUCCCAGUGUCGUCUUAGUUUCCGCUUGGUUCUUGGCGUCAGGAGCAAUUUGCUUUCUUCUUUGCAGGUAACUAUUGGUUCGGUUUGGUUGCUAUCACUUUGCCCACUUUUUGCUGCGGGAACUGGAGACGGGAACUCUCUCCUUCACCGGUGGU
rnacentral:lncRNA from 1 species